CUGGUGUCCUUAUAAGAAGAGGAGAGGACACAGAGACAUGGAGGGGAGAAGGUCAUUUUAAAUACAGGGGCAGAGGUCAUAGAGUUGCUGCCACAAACCAAGGAGGCAGGAACCGCCAGGAGCUGUAGGAGGUGGCCUCAAAUCCUGUCAGCUGCUCCUGCCCUGUGACCUCACUCAGCUCCGCUUCCCAGAACUCCAGGUCUGGCAGGAAGGGCCUGGGCUGCCGGAAGCGGGAUUUAUACUCGGCUUGUGGCUGAACUGAAAGGGCCUCCCAGGGUGACACUUGCAGCCUUCAGCAAGGAGGAGGAAGAACUACCAAGGAAUUCAUGUGGCCCUUGUCUUACGGUGUUUCAGGGGAUGACGUUCAAAAUGCCAGGAAACAAGCAGGAAAAGGACUUCCAAGGUCAUGGACCAGGAUCCCGGGAGGAGUCCAAUCCAGGAAGGUGACCCCUAGUGCCACAUCUGAGUGACAGUUACGGGGUGACCAGGGCACUGGUUGAUGGUGACAUUUGCUUCCUUUUGUUCUUGGAAACUUCUAACAUCCAGUCAGGAAGGUCCACGAAGAAUCUACUGGAUCCCCCAAUACUCUCAUUGCCAUCUGGGGCAUGUGCCCUGCCAACAAGGCAGCAGUCGUGGUUUCAGUCGGACGGAGAGUUCUGUUGCUGCAAAGCAAAUACUUGAAAAUCUUCAGUUUGGCUCCACCCAGGACCUGACAUUCAGGGACACUGAUUCCUGAAGCAGAAGCCCCCGGCCUAAGUUUCCAGAGAGACUCAGAGUCCGCCAACCAAGUGAUGCUCACAUGAAGAGAGGCCUACCCGCCUGGAAACGUGUACC